UGGGGAAUUUUGGACAAUGGGGCGAAAGCCUGAUCCAGCAAUGCCGCGUGUGUGAAGAAGGCCUUCGGGUUGUAAAGCACUUUUGUCCGGAAAGAAAGUCCUUGGCUCUAAUACAGUCGGGGGAUGACGGUACCGGUAAGAAUAAGCACCGGGCUAACUACGUGCCAGCAGCCGCGGUAAUACGUAGGGUGCAAGCGUUAAUCGGAAUUACUGGGCGUAAAGCGUGCGCAGGCGGUUUGCUAAGACCGAUGUGAAAUCCCCGGGUCUCAACCUGGGAACUGCAUUGGUGACUGGCAGGCUAGAGUAUGGCAGAGGGGGGUAGAAUUCCACGUGUAGCAGUGAAAUGCGUAGAGAUGUGAGGAAUACCGAUGGCGAAGGCAGCCCCCUGGGCCAAU
rnacentral:rRNA from 1 species